rnacentral:rRNA from 1 species
UUGAUCCUGGCUCAGAAUCAACGCUGGCGGCGUGCCUAACACAUGCAAGUCGAACGCGAAAGGGGGCAACCCUGAGUAGAGUGGCGUCCGGGUGAGUAAUACGUGGAUAAUCUACCUUCGGGUGAGGAAUAACUUUCCGAAAGGGAAGCUAAUACCGCAUAAAAUCUUGAUGGGGAAUCCUGUUAAGAUCAAAGUGGGGUAUCGCAAGACCUCACGCCUGAAGAGGAGUCCGCGGCCGAUUGGCUAGUUUGUGAGGUAAAGGCCCACCAAGGCGACGAUCGGUAGCCGGCCUGAGAGGGUGGUCGGCCACACUGGCACUGAAACACGGGCCAGACUCCUACGGGAGGCAUCAGUGGGGAAUUUUGGGCAAUGGCCGAAAGGCUGACCCAGCAACGCCGCUUGAAGGAUGAAAUCCUUCGGGAUGUAAACUUCGUAAGUCAGGGAAGAAUUAACGUGACCUAAUACGUCACGAUAUGACGGUACCUGACGUAAGCCCCGGUUAACUACGUGCCAGCAGCCGCGGUAAUAAGGU